GGAAAGGAAAGGGAUGGGCAACAAAAAACUAAGUAGAAGUUGAUUGAUUGAUUCUUUGAUUGAAACCAUUGUUCCAAGGUACCUCAAAGGAGUGAUUAAGUAUGCGGAGUGGAGGGAGAUGAGAUGAAUCUAAGAAGUAAACAUUUGUGAAGCAUCUCCAUUCUGUCUGGAAUAAUGCGUGAAGUGGAGGAGAUAGUGGAACAUCUAACAAGCUUAACGUUGAUGUACUAGAUUAGACAUACUUGCUAUGUCCCUGCUAAUCCACCAUGAAGGUGCAGCUUCCAUCCUCUUAAAGCUCAGCUUACUAAAUGAUUUGUCUGACCAAGGAGUGAAGUCCAGGUGGAAGGCCUGGAGGCAGGGGAGGAGCACCUAGCAGAGAAU
rnacentral:lncRNA from 1 species